rnacentral:rRNA from 1 species
UACGAAAGGUGCAAGCGUUACUCGGAAUCACUGGGCGUAAAGCGUGCGUAGACGGUAGCGUAAGUCGGGUGUGAAAGCCCCGGGCUCAACCUGGGAAUUGCAUUCGAGACUGCUCUGCUAGGGUGCGGAAGAGGGAAGCGGAAUUUCCGGUGUAGCGGUGAAAUGCGUAGAGAUCCGGAGGAACACCAGUGGCGAAGGCGACACGCUGGGCCGUACCUGACACUGAACCGCGACAGCAUGGGGAGCAAACAGG